rnacentral:lncRNA from 1 species
UAUUAAUCACCAAAGUGUUCGUCGUACAAGUCCGUAGGUCAGUUUAUAAACAAAAACUGCCUAUCCAAAAAAUUAAACGCAAUCUAGAGUAUGUCUAAGGAUCAAGCAUUACAAAAAAUAUUGUUGGAGGUAAAUCUUAACUCUAGGGGUUGCUCGGACAUUACAUAUGUAAGCAAUGCUCCUAAGUAGAUUUUCACUGGGACAAGAGGUGCUUCUGAAAAUGCGUGCAUUCCUUUCCAACCAAAGAGCAUAGAACAUUUCUGCAUGAACCAUUUUAAUUACAUGGGCUUGUGGAGAUUUGCCUUUAGACUUUGCUACAAGCCAGUUCACAAAUUGCUGCCAGUUCAGUCCAGGAGGCUG